rnacentral:rRNA from 1 species
UACGUAGGGUGCAAGCGUUGUCCGGAAUUAUUGGGCGUAAAGAGCUCGUAGGUGGCCUGUCGCGUCGGCUGUGAAAACUCGGGGCUCAACUCCGAGCUUGCAGUCGAUACGGGCAGGCUAGAGUUCGGCAGGGGGAGACUGGAAUUCCUGGUGUAGCGGUGGAAUGCGCAGAUAUCAGGAGGAACACCGGUGGCGAAGGCAGGUCUCUGGGCUGACACUGACGCUCAUGCACGAAAGCGUGGGGAGCAAACAGG